AAAUGAGAUGAAAUUAAAUUUUUGUGUUAAGCUUGUGUAGUUUUCAUCAUUUGAUCAUGAGUUUUAAUUACUAAUUUUUAAAAUUCUAUUGUGAAUUGUAGUUUUACAUAUUUGCAUGAAUUUCAGUGCUAUGUUUUCAAUUUAAUAUAAUAGCAAAAUGCAUAUUUGAUUGCAUUAUUUAAAGAAAAAAUUGCUAUUGGGUUUGAUUUAUUUAUUUACUAAAUACCCCUUGAAGUUUGUCACAAUACGCACUUUAGUCUUUGUGUUUUUAAAACCAAAUUAAAUGGCCUCCAAUGUUUUAUUUUGUUAACAAUUUAUUCUUUAGUCUUGUAUUCUUAAAACCAAUUUAAAUGGUCUAUAAUGUUUUAUUUUGU
rnacentral:misc_RNA from 1 species